rnacentral:rRNA from 1 species
CUUCGGGUUAGUGGCGGACGGGUGAGUAACGCGUGAGAAUCUGCCCUCAGGAGGGGGACAACAGCUGGAAACGGCUGCUAAUACCCCAUAUGCCGCGAGGUGAAAUGAAUUUCGCCUGAGGAUGAGCUCGCGUCUGAUUAGCUAGUUGGUGUAGGUAAUGGCUCACCAAGGCAUCGACCAGUAGCUGGUCUGAGAGGAUGAUCAGCCACACUGGGACUGAGACACGGCCCAGACUCCUACGGGAGGCAGCAGUGGGGAAUUUUCCGCAAUGGGCGAAAGCCUGACGGAGCAACGCCGCGUGAGGGAUGAAGGCCUCUGGGCUGUAAACCUCUUUUAUCAAGGAAGAAGAUCUGACGGUACUUGAUGAAUAAGCCACGGCUAAUUCCGUGCCAGCAGCCGCGGUAAUACGGGAGUGGCAAGCGUUAUCCGGAAUUAUUGGGCGUAAAGCGUCCGCAGGCGGCCCUUCAAGUCUGCUGUUAAAAAGUGGAGCUUAACUCCAUCAUGGCAGUGGAAACUGUUGGGCUUGAGUG